rnacentral:rRNA from 1 species
AGUGGCGAACGGGUGAGUAAUACGUGAGUAACCUACCUUUAACUCUGGGAUAAGCCUGGGAAACUGGGUCUAAUACCGGAUACGACCAAUCUCCGCAUGGAGUGUUGGUGGAAAGCGUUAUGUAGUGGUUAUAGAUGGGCUCACGGCCUAUCAGCUUGUUGGUGAGGUAACGGCUCACCAAGGCGACGACGGGUAGCCGGCCUGAGAGGGUGACCGGCCACACUGGGACUGAGACACGGCCCAG